AUUGAUUAUAUUGUAAGUUCCUUCUAAAUUUAAUAAUUUGUUCACUAUCUUUUUAAUUUCUUGUGAUUAUCUUCCAAAUUCCAUGCUUCUGAUUCGAUUUCAUUAUAACUGUUAUUCUAAAACCCCAUCCUUUCUUCUUCAACUUUUACAUUCUGUCUUUAAUUUGGAAUAUCGCAGUUGAUACGUAUAAUCAAUCGAUCGAUCGAUCAGUCGAAGAAUCAUCAGAUGAUCAUCGACGGAAGGAGAAAUGUGGCAGAUAGUUGCAUUAAAAUUUUAAUACUGAUUACAAUGUUUAUCUUGAUGACUAGCGGGUGUAUUUCUUUGUGGUCUUUUCUUGAAAAUUUGAUGAAGGCCAGACCUGUUGCACCUUCGCCUGAUCAUUAGUAAUAGGAAGAAUUCUGUAAUGCUAAUACUAUCUUGAGUGAGUUUCUUGGAAGUUUGAAUGAAAUAUUGUUAAUUUUGUUCUUCAUUAUCAUUUUCAUAAUGCUUUUAAUAUGAACGAUAUACCAAUUCUUUUCUA
rnacentral:lncRNA from 1 species